rnacentral:rRNA from 2 species
GGGCGUAAAGCGAGCGCAGGCGGUUUUGUAAGUCUGCUGUGAAAGCCCUCAGCUCAACUGAGGAAGUGCAGUGGAAACUACAAAACUUGAGUACAGAAGAGGAAAGUGGAACUCCAUGUGUAGCGGUGAAAUGCGUAGAUAUAUGGAAGAACACCAGUGGCGAAGGCGGCUUUCUGGUCUGUUACUGACGCUGAGGCUCGAAAGCAUGGGUAGCGAACAGGAUUAGAUACCCUGGUAGUCCAUGCCGUAAACGAUGAAUACUAGGUGUUGGAGGGUUUCCGCCCUUCAGUGCCGCAGCUAACGCAUUAAGUAUUCCGCCUGGGGAGUACGACCGCAAGGUUGAAACUCAAAGGAAUUGACGGGGGCCCGCACAAGUGGUGGAGCAUGUGGUUUAAUUCGAUGCUACGCGAAGAACCUUACCAGCUCUUGACAUCUUCUGCCAACCCAAGAGAUUGGGCGUUCCCUUCGGGGACAGAAUGACAGGUGGUGCAUGGUUGUCGUCAGCUCGUGUCGUGAGAUGUUGGGUUAAGUCCCGCAACGAGCGCAACCCUUAUUAUUAGUUGCCAGCAUUUAGUUGGGCACUCUAGUGAGACUGCCGGUGAUAAACCGGAGGAAGGUGGGGACGACGUCAAAUCAUCAUGCCCCUUAUGAGCUGGGCUACACACGUGCUACAAUGGAUGGUACAACGAGUCGCGAAACCGCGAGGUCAAGCUAAUCUCUUAAAGCCAUUCUCAGUUCGGAUUGCAGGCUGCAACUCGCCUGCAUGAAGUUGUAAUCACUAGUAAUCGUGGAUCAGCAUGCCACGGUGAAUACGUUCCCGGGCCUUG